rnacentral:rRNA from 1 species
CAGCCGCCGCGGGAAUACGUAGGUAGCAAGCGUUGUCCGGAAUUAUUGGGCGUAAAGGGCUCGCAGGCGGUUUCUUAAGUCUGAUGUGAAAGCCCCCGGCUCAACCGGGGAGGGUCAUUGGAAACUGGGAAACUUGAGUGCAGAAGAGGAGAGUGGAAUUCCACGUGUAGCGGUGAAAUGCGUAGAGAUGUGGAGGAACACCAGUGGCGAAGGCGACUCUCUGGUCUGUAACUGACGCUGAGGAGCGAAAGCGUGGGGAGCGAACAGGAUUAGAUACCCGCGUAGUCCCUGUCUCUUAUAC